rnacentral:rRNA from 1 species
UACGAAGGGGGCUAGCGUUGCUCGGAAUCACUGGGCGUAAAGGGUGCGUAGGCGGGUUUUUAAGUCAGGGGUGAAAUCCUGGAGCUCAACUCCAGAACUGCCUUUGAUACUGAAGAUCUUGAGUCCGGGAGAGGUGAGUGGAACUGCGAGUGUAGAGGUGAAAUUCGUAGAUAUUCGCAAGAACACCAGUGGCGAAGGCGGCUCACUGGCCCGGUACUGACGCUGAGGCACGAAAGCGUGGGGAGCAGACAGG